rnacentral:misc_RNA from 1 species
UUUCCGUAGGUGAACCUGCGGAAGGAUCAUUAUAAAUGAAAAACGAAUAACUUCAGGGAAGAAGGGAACCUGCACGGUGACCUCCCCUGUCGGGCCGCCCAAUACCUUCAAAAUGCCGCCGUCCUAGCGGUGGCAGACGAAAAAAAAACAAGAAAAACAAAAUAGAAACAGGCACGGUGGCCCGUUCACCUUCACACAACCCUCCGAGUACCGCUUCCAUGUUGCUUCCCCGCAAAUCCACCUCUUUGGUGAGCGCGGGGGAGGUCCGCAUCAAAUUCACCUGAAUGUCACAGCAGUCAGACAGCCAUUCAUGGAAACAAUAAAACUUUCAACAACGGAUCUCUUGGUUCCC